rnacentral:lncRNA from 1 species
GAGCUGAAGUGAAGCUGCAAAUAAGUAUGCAUAAUAUGCUGAAAAAUUCUGUAGAAAACUGAAGUGACUGAUACAUUAUGUCCCACCACUGCUUAUGUGCCUGCUUUGUCUGACUUUCUGUGGAUUCCAGCAGCGAGUGACUUGUGACAUGCUUAUUUAAAGGGCUUCAUCACUCCCAUGUAUAAUACAGAGAUUUCUCUAGUGAUAAAAAGGGAUCUCUGGAUGGAGCAAAGCAGGGAAGACUAA